rnacentral:rRNA from 1 species
AGAAUGAACGCUAGCGAUAUGCUUAACACAUGCAAGUUGAACGUUGUUUUCGAAUCAGAAUGAGAACAAAGUAGCGAACGGGUGCGUAACACGUGGGAAUCUGCCGAACAGUUUGGGCCAAAUCCCGAAUGAAUAAAAGCUAAAAAGCGCUGUUUGAUGAGCCCACGUAGUAUUAGGUAGUUGGUUAGGUAAAAGCUGACCAAGCCUACGAUGCUUAGCUGGUCUUUUCGGAUGAUCAGCCACACUGGGACUGAGACACGGCCCAGACUCCUACGGGAGGCAGCAGUGGGGAAUCUUGGACAAUGGGCGAAAGCCUGAUCCGGCAAUAUGGCGUGAGUGAAGAGGGCAACGCAGCUUGUAAAGCUCUUUCAUCGAGUGUGCGAUUGUGACAAGACUCGAAUAAGAACGCCCCGGACUAACCGUCCGCGCCAGCAGGCCGC